UGCGUUGCUUUAUGCUUUCCUUUCUGUUUUUUUUCUUUUCUUGAGCUUCCUUAUAUAUUUCUCUCGGUCAAAUUUAGUAUUGGCGUGUAUCAAUUACCAAAUAUGUACAAAAUGCACUCAUUUGUUGAUUUGUUGCAAUCUUGAGAGGCACGUCCCCAUCAGGUGCCCGUCUAAGGUCGAAGCGUUUUGUUCCGUGGCGAGUUGUGCAGUGUUGAGGCACGUCACAUUAUGCGUUCUCGUUCUCCUCCAAUAGAAAACUUUAUCGGUCGGUGUUACAGCGAAGACUUAAAUGUAGCAAUUUCUCAAAGACUUCAAAAGUAAACGUAAAAUCCGCAGAUAUUAGUAAAUGGGCGUGAUCGCCCAAUGAAUAUGACAUAAUUCAUGAACUAUACACACGUUCCUUUUUUUCUUAUAAUUAGUUAAGACUGAUUUUUUGACUGAUUUUUAAGCUAUAUUUUCAAAAUGUCAUUAAAUGACGAAAGGUACGGUGCAGUUCUAAUUGCUAUCAAAUAACCAAAGUGGUUUUGGAGAGUUACCAGUUGCCCAUCAACGCCUAAUUAAGUUUCACCUUCUUCGGUGUUACCUGUCAAGUGCCGUAUUUAAUACUUACCAAUAUGCACUCAGCAUUCGUGAAUAUCAGGUAAAUAACCUUAGAAUAGAAUAAAACAAGUCAAAAACAUUAUUUGUCAAAAUAGUAUGGCUUUUACAUGUAUACGGAACAGGCAAAGCUUUGCAUUGGAUUUUCUCGCAUAUACAGCCUAAAUAUUAAAUGAUUGUUUGGUAAUUGGAUCCCAAUAUCCAUUAGCGCGACCUUUCCUAGCCACGCCUCCUUCCUACUAAACUUACAGGCCACCACGACAAGAGGUGUGUCCAUUUGACGAGUAAACAGAAAGGGAAUUUAAAUUGCUCGAGUUUGGUCCAAUAAGAGCAGUCCAGAGACUUCCCGCAUGACAAGUAAUCGGCAAAAGUUGUGCGAUGUUUUUCAACAAAGACAGUCCAUUUAGUCAAAGCCACUAAUAAGGAUACUCUUCUCGCAUCUAGCUGUAAAUAGUUGCAGAUCUCCCACCUUUGACAAAUUUUUUGUGAAGAAAAGACACUGACGCUUGGCAAUGAAGAUUCUGUUCGCGUUCUUUGUGUUGUUUGCAACACAAAUUAUUGAUUUAAAAGCGCAUUUGCACUGGAAAAAAAACGCUUUGGACAUCACUGGCGUAGAUAAACCUCAGAUAAAGUUUUGGAAAAACCCAUUCUCCAAAGAGAAAGAGGAAGCUGGAGCACUGGCGUCCUUAACAGGCACAUUCAGAGUUGAGGGUACUGCAAAAAUCAAGAACAAUGGAAAGAUCAAGUUGCGUCUUACUCUAAUUGUGUAAUGACAAUGACAUAUAACAAUGAUAAUAAUAAUAUUAAUUAAUUUAUUAAUAAUAACUGUGUUAAUAUUAGAAGUUACUACCAGAAAAGGAUGAAGGAUAAUAUCCGAUAAAGGCCUUCAUCCUAGGGUAACCUCUCUAAAGUUAUUUCUAGAUCUCUGUGGGUUUCAGAAUUCCCAGGAAGGUCUAGACAUAGCUUAUCUGGUGGAGCAUAUCAUUUUUUUUUUUUUCAUUUAUAUGGAUCGCCCAAGCGACUUUACACGCAUUUUCAUCCUGCUUAAAAUAUCUAGGCAAAGCGCAUGAUGACAUUGUCGGUGGGAAAACUGGGUACCACGUCUAAAA